rnacentral:rRNA from 1 species
GACAGUCUCAGUUCGGAUUGAAGGCUGAAAUUCGCCUUCAUGAAGCCGGAAUUGCUAGUAAUGGCAGGUCAGCAUACUGCCGUGAAUACGUUCCCGGGCCUUGUACACACCGCCCGUCACACCAUGAGAGUUGGCAAUACCCAACGUACGUGAUCUAACCCGCAAGGGAGGAAGCGUCCUAAGGUAGGGUCAGCGAUUGGGGUGAAGUCGUAACAAGGUAGC